rnacentral:pre_miRNA from 1 species
UGUGCACCAGUGGGGUCCCUCGGCCUGGCCUGCACUCUCUCACAAUCUGGAACCCCUCGGGGGAUGUCAGAGAACUGGUUUUGGUCUGAUCCUGCAGGCCAGGCCGAGGGACCCCACUGGUGCAUG